UGCACAGAUGUAUUUGCAGAACUCACAGGGCUGAAAUUUUAGUGAAGUUGCUGUAAUACUUAUCUCAGUAGCCACCUUCUUUUCUAGCGCUGAAAAUACCGUUCAGAAUAAUAAUAUCAGAAAGAUUGUUUUUAAGCAAUACAAUCAAGUCUACCAAGGUGAGACUACCACAAAAACAGGUUGUGGCACAAUGUGUUUCUGAGAGACAUCUGUUCCCUUUAAAUUUGGCCAGAGCCACAAACAUAGCUUGGAAAAUGUCACGGUUUUGUGAUUUUUUGUUGUGGGUAUUCCACAUCAUAACAUCAUGUAAAGCACUGCCAGUUAAAGAGUUAAUCUUCUGGUUUCUGGGGACUGCCAUUUUUGGGUGCUUGGUUCUCUGAGGGAGAGGGGAGGAGCUGCACUCCCCAGGGGUCUUUGCGCCUGGAGGGGCUGGUGAAGCCGCCUGGCAGAAUGGGAGUUCUCUCUUCGCAUGGGUGGAGAAGCUCAUGAUCCCCCUGCAGCUUACAGAAAUCACAGAAUUGUAGGGAUUGGAAGAGCCUCUGGAGAUCAAGACCAACCCCUUGCUAAAGUAGGUUCCCUACACUAGGCUGUACAGGAAAGUGCCCAGGGAUUUUUAGAGCUCCAGAGGAAAAGUUACAGGUCUGUGCCAAGAAAAGUAAUGUUGCUGUGAGACUAAGAGGACGAAGAAAGCUGCCACAUCCACUUCCACAAAUGGCAUGGUCUGCAAGAUGCUGGAAGUAUGCUUAAAGCUAACAGUAUAUGAUUUAGCUUUGAAAUUACAGUAAAUGCCUUCAAACCCACUUUCACCCAGUGGGUAACAUCAGGUAAUCCUUUCUGUUUUUCUGUAAGUCCUCUAUUUGCACCGGGCUAUUCAAAUGCAUAUAUCUUCCUAGAAUGCUUCAAUUCUAUGAUAUUCUUAAUAAUAACUCAGCGACAAGUAAAUUUGAACACAUCAAGUUACCAAGUAAGAGGCAAUUAAAUGCCUGCACAAGGUUUGCAAGGCCUGGGUUGUUCUUGGAAAACUUGGUUUGCUUGAUGACUGCCCAGGACGCACAACAACAGAGCAGGGGCUUCUGCAUCCUAUCCCAUGCAUACCUUCUUCAAAAUUAUUUUGGACUGAAGAUAAAUCAGACAGAGUUGUGAGCAUAAACCUACGAACUUUAUGCUUGCCUGCAACAGUAGACUAAAUAUGACUGACUACUUGCCCCAAACAAUGGAACAGUUUUCAUGUACACUCAGAGAUAGAUAAGUAAAGUACACAGAUAACUCGUCUAUCAGCAUAAAACUGCUCAGUAAUAUCCAUAGCAAGCAGAUUGCAAGAAGCUGAGAUACAGUGACAUUAAAUCAAAGAAUAUCAGCUUAAUGUGAAUGAAGUAGCCAUCCAUGAGGUGUUCUCAUCCCAAUCAUAUACAUGAAAACACUCAAAAAUACCAGGGAACAAAGAUUUUGGGAAAAGACUUGACAGAGGGCAGCCCCACAACCCUGCUUCAGGAUCUGAAACCACCUCUCCAGUUUUUGAGGAUCCUGGGAAGCAGGAAAACAGCUGAAGGAAACCUCAAGACCUUGUACCAGAAAUAUUGUUCUGAAAGUAAUGCCUCCUAUUUAUUUCCAUGGAAACUACAACAGAUACAAAGA